UAUAGGCCUGCCAUGAUCAGGCCUAUAAAUAGGCAUGAUUUUACACAAGCUUCAGAUGCCAGUUGCGUGCGAGAGGCGCUCCCAUAGUAUUAUGCUAAACGCAACAUCAAAGUUCCCUUUGAAAGGGAACUUUACGGUGCAUGGUGGCCUGCCAGGUGGUGUUUGCAGUGGCGGCUCCUUUAUAGUGGAGUGGAGCAGUGUCCAACCAUUUCCAUCCGCCAUAAAGAGCACGUAAGCUACUUUAACCAUACUUUUACAGUUACUGGCCUGAUUGACUACUGCUACUGUUCUACUCUAGUGAAAAUGCAAAAUUUUGGACUUAAAUUGCAGUACAGCAACAACAGUGGACAAGAGUGAGUAGCUCAGCAACAAGCUAGUCAGCAGACAACUAGCUAUUAGGAAAAAGCUAACCAGCUAAAAUGAAUCAUAACACUAAUGCUGAUGAUUACCUUCACAAAACAGUAAUUAGUAUGGUCAAUGUUAUAGAUUUCCACAAGGAAUCCAAUAUUCAGGUUACAGAUUGGCCUCUCCUGCCAUCUGCAGAUCCACCAACUUCUAACCCCAUGGAAGACAGUCAUACUUGACUCGAGUAACUGCCGAUGACGACAACGAUGAUGAUUUCUGACCUGAAUAUAAGCAUUAACAUAUGAGCAUUCUUACACCUCAGUUCACUUUUAUUGUUCUUACAUCAUUUUGAGUGACCAGGAAGAAACAGGGCUGUGGAGUGAUUUCAAAAAGGAAUAAAGUAUUGAAACAAAAAAUAUCUGUUUCAAAAGGAACUUAAUUUUAUUCUGUUCAUGUCGAUUGUUGCAUAUGGAACCAGUCUGAGACUGUCAGUUCUGAAUUUCUUUAUGCUGACACGACAAUUGAGAGGUGGUGCAUGAAAUAAACAUCAAACAAUAAAGUUCUCCAUACCAAACUGGAACUGUUUUAACAUAGUGAAUGUGUCUGCUGAAAACCUGAGCCAGGAAAAUAAACCCAAUCUGAUUCAUGGAGAAAACACUAGUGGGCAAAACAAUGAUGGACAGCUAGCCAGGAUGUAGUGUAUGAUAAAGUCAGAGCUUGUAUUCUGGGACAGGUUUCACCAGUCAACUUGAAAUCAUGGAUAAUUUCUAAUGACUGAGAGCAAUUUAGAUGGAUUUUUUAUUAUGAAGUCAUAAAAAUGAAGUAACCCUGCCCCUUGAUCUAACUUUAACCAUGCACCUUAACUUUUCAUAUGAGUUGGCCCAUAUACAGUGUUAUAAAUUUUCAAUCAUAAGACCAUGUUGGAACUAGGUUGUGUAAUAAAGAGUGCUGCCAAGAUCCUCCUGCUUUCAUCAGCCAAUGAUGGUAGUCGAGCCAAAAUAAGCUGCCAAUUAUCCAAUCAACUGCAGCCAGACACAGUGGUGACCAAAAAAGCACACAUCAAACCAGACAAAACAAUAUACUACUGUGUAUGGCAUACAGAAAUGUUUUGGCUGACACUUGGGGUUGAAAGCAAAGGAUUUGCAACAAAAGUUUUUUGGAAAAAACCAAGAAACUAGCCAGAGAACGAAAUGUUGGCACAUUGAUAAAGAGAUGAUGUGAUAAAUUAUAAUUGAAACAGAUUUUUGCAAUAAAUGAUGGCAGUGAGUGUAUUGUCUCACCAUUGUAUGCAUGUUUGGAUCUUUUCAUCAUGUCAUGUGUUGCUUUCUCUUCAGAAUAUUCAGCAACUGAUGAAAAUCCCAAAAGGAUUCACAUUUUAUUUUUCCAACUUUUCAAAAAGUGACAUACCUACAGCCGAGAAGAUUUCUCUUCCUGUGCCGAUUUUGACAGGAUGUUUUAAAAAGCUGUCCAUAUUGAACACAUCAGAAGUUUGCUGCUAUUUUAUAGAAAAUAAAUCUAUUUUUCAGACAUCAGUUUUCUAGGUUAUGCUGAUGCAUGUCUGUAUACUAGCAGUAAACUAGGAAGGAAAAAAAAAAGAUCACAACACAUUCCAAUAUUUUGCAGUGUUGAUGGCAGUAUCUCAUCAGUAGCAUCACCCCGACUCUAGGAGCAAAUACACAAAAUACAACAAACAAUUCAUCCAUCUGACUAAUAUUGAUAUGUCUUCAAAAUUUUAUGCUACUAAAAUUUGCAGUUUGUUCUAUAAUGUAUUUUCCGUGCUGGGCAACAGUGACUCUGUACUGUGCACAUGAAUACAUGACUACUAGAUUCAUAUGGCUAACUUUAAUGUGGGGACUGGAAAUUGGGUUUGGAAAACAAAACCAAUGUAAUGGAUUGCAGUUACUCUUGCAAAUUUGUCCAGUUGGUCCUGUUGGCGAGUGGAAUGGCAGAGCAGAGCCGGGCUUUAAUGGGCUGUAAACCCAAGGUCGCUUCCAAGAACUCUCUCAAGCUUCUACUGCAAACUGAUCAUGCUCUGUUAAGAGGGUGCAGCACACUGUUUCAUAGUUCACUAACAGAUCUGGGUCAAUUUAUGUGUCCCCGAUACUUGCAUUCUUGAGUAUUGGAUUUGAACCUCGGAUGCAAGAUCGUAUAAGUAUGCAUUUUGAGAAACGGCUUUGUUUUCCAGAUAUAUGUUGAAUCAUGUGUCAUGUGACAUGCACGUCAACUUUACUUUAUAAACCACAUUUACUAGUGUGGAUUCACAUUUAUAGUAUUUUCUCAAAAUUAGCAAAUUUUUCUAUGUUCAAACUCAAAAAUCACAGUUUAUGGUUUAUCAACCUGCAUGUUCAUGCUCAUUCCUGUCCCUAUUUAGAAAGAUAUUAGAGAGGAAUUUCUCAACUUGUUGAUUAUUUCUGGAUUCACAUUAGAUUCUGUACUAAAAAUGGCAUAUAUUUAUUUUGGUAACAACACGUAGUAUUUUGUUAUGUAAACAACAACAACAACAAUAAUAAUAAUUAAAAAAUAAAUUCCAACAACUGUUCUGUAAAAGUCUUCUCUGAAGACUGCCUACACAAUUUUAAUUCUAGCAUCAUUCAAAAACUAGAUUUUUUUUGUUUUGUCAUAUUUAAUAAGAUGACUCCUUAGUUUCAUGAAAUUUAUUAAAAAAAUUGUGAUAUCAAUUGUUUGACUUAAAUUACCUUAUUCACCUGUAGUUUCUUAGCUUAAUUGGUCAAACAGCAAAAUUUGCAGUAAAGCUGUAGGGUUAUAUAUAUAUAUAUAUAUAUAUAUACACACAAACAGUAGUACAAUACUGGUUGGGUCCAAAAAUUCUCUCUCUUUGUUUUUAACCGCUGCUAUCUCAGUGUUUUUAAUCUCUGAUUAACACACAUUUCAUAAACAACAAUGCAUGCAUAUAUAUAUAUAUAUAUAUAUAUA
ensembl:lncRNA